rnacentral:rRNA from 1 species
AGCAGCCGCGGUAAUUCCAGCUCCAAUAGCGUAUAUUAAAGUUGUUGCAGUUAAAAAGCUCGUAGUUGAAUUUCGGGAUUGACACAUCGGUCGUGCCUUAAGGGGUAUGAACUGGUGUAGUCAAUUUCUCACCUUCUGGAGAACCGCGAUGCCCUUAAUUGGGUGUCGCGGGGAACCAGGACCUUUACUUUGAAAAAAUUAGAGUGUUUAAAGCAGGCAUUUUGCUUGAAUACAUUAGCAUGGAAUAAUAAAAUAGGACGGCAUGAUUCUAUUUUGUUGGUUUCUAGGAUCACCGUAAUGAUUAAUAGGGAUAGUUGGGGGCAUUAGUAUUCAAUUGUCAGAGGUGAAAUUCUUGGAUUUAUUGAAGACUAACUACUGCGAAAGCAUUUGCCAAGGAUGUUUUCAUUAAUCAAGAACGAAAGUUAGGGGAUCGAAGACGAUCAGAUACCGUCGUAGUCUUAACCAUAAACUAUGCCGACUAGGAAUCAGGCGAUGUUAAUUUUUAAUGACUCGUUUGGCA